UAGCAUAUCAAUAAGCGGAGGAAAAGAAACCAACAGGGAUUGCCCUAGUAACGGCGAGUGAAGCGGCAACAGCUCAAAUUUGAAAUCUGGCUCUUUCAGAGUCCGAGUUGUAAUUUGCAGAGGGCGCUUUGGCUUUGGCAGCGGUCCAAGUUCCUUGGAACAGGACGUCACAGAGGGUGAGAAUCCCGUACGUGGUCGCUAGCUAUUGCCGUGUAAAGCCCCUUCGACGAGUCGAGUUGUUUGGGAAUGCAGCUCUAAAUGGGAGGUAAAUUUCUUCUAAAGCUAAAUAUUGGCCAGAGACCGAUAGCGCACAAGUAGAGUGAUCGAAAGAUGAAAAGCACUUUGGAAAGAGAGUCAAACAGCACGUGAAAUUGUUGAAAGGGAAGCGCUUGCAGCCAGACUUGCUUGCAGUUGCUCAUCCGGGCUUUUGCCCGGUGCACUCUUCUGUAGGCAGGCCAGCAUCAGUUUGGGCGGUGGGAUAAAGGUCUCUGUCACGUACCUCUCUUCGGGGAGGCCUUAUAGGGGAGACGACAUACCACCAGCCUAGACUGAGGUCCGCGCAUCUGCUAGGAUGCUGGCGUAAUGGCUGUAAGCGGCCCGUCUUGAAACACGGACCAAGGAGUCUAACAUCUAUGCGAGUGUUUGGGUGUCAAGCCCGAGCGCGUAAUGAAAGUGAACGGAGGUGGGAACCCGCAAGGGUGCACCAUCGACCGAUCCUGAAGUUUACGGAAGGAUUUGAGUAAGAGCAUGGCUGUUGGGACCCGAAAGAUGGUGAACUAUGCUUGAAUAGGGUGAAGCCAGAGGAAACUCUGGUGGAGGCUCGCAGCGGUUCUGACGUGCAAAUCGAUCGUCAAAUUUGGGCAUAGGGGCGAAAGACUAAUCGAACUAUCUAGUAGCUGG
rnacentral:rRNA from 1 species